CCUACGGGAGGCAGCAGUAGGGAAUUUUCGUCAAUGGGCGCAAGCCUGACCGAGCGAUGCCGCGUGAGUGAAGAAGGCCUUCGGGUCGUAAAGCUCUGUUGCGGGGGAAAAAAGGCAGCAUCAGGACAUGGGUGCUGACUGAUGGUGCCCCGCCCGAAAGUCACGGCUAACUACGUGCCAGCAGCCGCGGUAAUACGUAGGUGGCGAGCGUUAUCCGGAAGGAUUGGGCGUAAAGGGUGCGCAGGCGGUCCUGCAAGUCUGGAGUGAAACGCAUGAGCUCAACUCAUGCAUGGCGUUGGAAACUGGAGGACUGGAGAGCAGGAGAGGGCAGUGGAACUCCAUGUGUAGCGGUAAAAUGCGUAGAUAUAUGGAAGAACACCAGUGGCGAAGGCGGCCGCCUGGCCUGUUGCUGACGCUGAGGCACGAAAGCGUGGGGAGCAAAUAGGAUUAGAUACCCUUGUAGUG
rnacentral:rRNA from 1 species